CUAUAAAGAGCCUUUCUGCCAAAUUUCAAGUUUGUAGGUGUUAUAGUUUCAGAGAUUUCGUGAUCAGUGAGUCAACAUACCAUCCCCCGUUUUAACCCCAAAAAGGGGUUGAUUUCUAAAGAUACAUUAUUUGGACGCCUUUUCAUCAUCUAUAGAGCAUAAAUUUUAAAUUUCAGGUCUCUUACUUCAAAAACAUAGGACUUUCAUACAAACUUCCAACCCCCGUUUUACCCCCUUAGGGG
rnacentral:misc_RNA from 1 species